GACAGCAGUAGCCGCGGUAAUACAGAGGGUGCGAGCGUUAAUCGGAUUUACUGGGCGUAAAGCGUGCGUAGGCGGCUUUUUAAGUCGGAUGUGAAAUCCCUGAGCUUAACUUAGGAAUUGCAUUCGAUACUGGGAAGCUAGAGUAUGGGAGAGGAUGGUAGAAUUCCAGGUGUAGCGGUGAAAUGCGUAGAGAUCUGGAGGAAUACCGAUGGCGAAGGCAGCCAUCUGGCCUAAUACUGACGCUGAGGUACGAAAGCAUGGGGAGCAAACAGGAUUAGAUACCCGCGUAGUCCCUGUCUCUUAUAC
rnacentral:rRNA from 1 species